UAGGGAAUCUUCGGCAAUGGGGGCAACCCUGACCGAGCAACGCCGCGUGAGUGAAGAAGGUUUUCGGAUCGUAAAGCUCUGUUGUAAGAGAAGAACGUGUGUGAGAGUGGAAAGUUCACACAGUGACGGUAACUUACCAGAAAGGGACGGCUAACUACGUGCCAGCAGCCGCGGUAAUACGUAGGUCCCGAGCGUUGUCCGGAUUUAUUGGGCGUAAAGCGAGCGCAGGCGGUUUAAUAAGUCUGAAGUUAAAGGCAGUGGCUUAACCAUUGUUCGCUUUGGAAGCUGUUAAACUUGAAUGCAGAAGGGGGGAGUGGAAUUCCAUGUGUAGCGGUGAAAUGCGUAGAUAUAUGGAGGGACACCGGUGGCGAAAGCGGCUCUCUGGUCUGUAACUGACGCUGAGGCUCGAAAGCGUGGGGAGCAAACAGG
rnacentral:rRNA from 1 species